rnacentral:lncRNA from 1 species
CAGCUCGAUAUUGUUCCUCUCUAGUUGCCCUGAUUGGUACUUCAGCAAGUCAAUCUCUUCUUUCUCCAUUCUCGGAACAUCGGGAUUGAAACUCGUAAGGCUCGCCAAAUAUCGGCCCACAUGUGCAAGAGACCUUAAAGCAUUGACAAAUCACUUCUCUCCCCUUUGAUCGUCGAGGAACAGCCUCUUAGUUGACAGUAGGAGAUUUCUCAGGUACCCCA